rnacentral:rRNA from 1 species
GAUGAACGCUGGCGGCGUGCCUAAUACAUGCAAGUCGAGCGAACAGACGAGGAGCUUGCUCCUCUGACGUUAGCGGCGGACGGGUGAGUAACACGUGGAUAACCUACCUAUAAGACUGGGAUAACUUCGGGAAACCGGAGCUAAUACCGGAUAAUAUAUUGAACCGCAUGGUUCAAUAGUGAAAGACGGUUUUGCUGUCACUUAUAGAUGGAUCCGCGCCGCAUUAGCUAGUUGGUAAGGUAACGGCUUACCAAGGCAACGAUGCGUAGCCGACCUGAGAGGGUGAUCGGCCACACUGGAACUGGGACGCGGUCCAGACUCCUACGGGAGGCAGCAGUAGGGAAUCUUCCGCAAUGGGCGGAAGCUUGGCGGAGCAACGCCGCGUGAGUGAUGAAGGUCUUCGGAUCGUAAAACUCUGUUAUUAGGGAAGAACAAAUGUGUAAGUAACUAUGCACGUCUUGACGGUACCUAAUCAGAAAGCCACGGCUAACUACGUG